rnacentral:tRNA from 1 species
AGGGGUAUAGCUCAGUGGAAGAGCAUUCGACUGCAGAUCGAAAUGUCCCCAGUUCAAACCUGGGUGCCCACUU